UACGGAGGGUGCAAGCGUUAUCCGGAUUCACUGGGUUUAAAGGGUGCGUAGGCGGGCAGGUAAGUCAGUGGUGAAAUCUUCGAGCUUAACUCGGAAACUGCCGUUGAUACUAUCUGUCUUGAAUACCCGGGAGGUGAGCGGAAUAUGUCAUGUAGCGGUGAAAUGCUUAGAUAUGACAUAGAACACCAAUUGCGAAGGCAGCUCACUACAGGGUCAUUGACGCUGAGGCACGAAAGCGUGGGGAUCAAACAGG
rnacentral:rRNA from 1 species